GAUGAACGCUGGCGGCGUGCCUAAUACAUGCAAGUCGAGCGAACAGACGGGGAGCUUGCUCCUCUGACGUUAGCGGCGGACGGGUGAGUAACACGUGGAUAACCUACCUAUAAGACUGGGAUAACUUCGGGAAACCGGAGCUAAUACCGGAUAAUAUAUUGAACCGCAUGGUUCAAUAGUGAAAGACGGUUUUGCUGUCACUUAUAGAUGGAUCCGCGCCGCAUUAGCUAGUUGGUAAGGUAACGGCUUACCAAGGCAACGAUGCGUAGCCGACCUGAGAGGGUGAUCGGCCACACUGGAACUGAGACACGGUCCAGACUCCUACGGGAGGCAGCAGUAGGGAAUCUUCCGCAAUGGGCGAAAGCCUGACGGAGCAACGCCGCGUGAGUGAUGAAGGUCUUCGGAUCGUAAAACUCUGUUAUUAGGGAAGAACAAAUGUGUAAGUAACUAUGCACGUCUGGACGGUACCUAAGCAGAAAGCCACGGCUAACUACGG
rnacentral:rRNA from 1 species